rnacentral:rRNA from 1 species
GAUGAACGCUGGCGGCGUGCCUAAUACAUGCAAGUAGAACGCUGAAGGAGGAGCUUGCUCUUCUGGAUGAGUUGCGAACGGGUGAGUAACGCGUAGGUAACCUGCCUGGUAGCGGGGGAUAACUAUUGGAAACGAUAGCUAAUACCGCAUGACAACAGUUAUUGCAUGAUAACUGUUUAAAAGGGGCAACUGCUCCACUACCAGAUGGACCUGCGUUGUAUUAGCUAGUUGGUGAGGUAACGGCUCACCAAGGCGACGAUACAUAGCCGACCUGAGAGGGUGAUCGGCCACACUGGGACUGAGACACGGCCCAGACUCCUACGGGAGGCAGCAGUAGGGAAUCUUCGGCAAUGGACGGAAGUCUGACCGAGCAACGCCGCGUGAGUGAAGAAGGUUCUCGGUUCGUAAAGCUCUGUUGUAAGAGAAGAACGAGUGUGAGAGUGGAAAGUUCACACUGUGACGGUAUCUUACCAGAAAGGGACGGCUAACUACGUG